rnacentral:rRNA from 1 species
GUGGGGAAUAUUGGACAAUGGGGGGAACCCUGAUCCAGUCAUGCCGCGUGUGUGAAGAAGGCCUUUUGGUUGUAAAGCACUUUAAGCGAGGAGGAGGCUACCGAGAUUAAUACUCUUGGAUAGUGGACGUUACUCGCAGAAUAAGCACCGGCUAACUCUGUGCCAGCAGCCGCGGUAAUACAGAGGGUGCAAGCGUUAAUCGGAUUUACUGGGCGUAAAGCGCGCGUAGGUGGCCAAUUAAGUCAAAUGUGAAAUCCCCGAGCUUAACUUGGGAAUUGCAUUCGAUACUGGUUGGCUAGAGUAUGGGAGAGGAUGGUAGAAUUCCAGGUGUAGCGGUGAAAUGCGUAGAGAUCUGGAGGAAUACCGAUGGCGAAGGCAGCCAUCUGGCCUAAUACUGACACUGAGGUGCGAAAGCAUGGGGAGCAAACAGGAUUAGAAACCCGUGUAGUCC